rnacentral:rRNA from 1 species
GGUUACUGCUAUCGGAGUUCGAUUAAGCCAUGCGAGUCUAAAGGUUUNUUNGGAAACCUUGGCGGACUGCUCAGUAACACGUGGAUAACCUACCCUUGGGACUGGAAUAACCCCGGGAAACUGGGGAUAAUANNGNAUAGGUCAGGGAUGCUGGAAUGCACCUUGAUCCAAAGNUCCGGCGCCCANGGAUGGNUCUGCGGCCUAUCAGGUAGUAGUGGGUGUAACGUACCUACUAGCCAACGACGGGUACGGGUUGUGAGAGCAAGAGCCCGGAGAUGGAUUCUGAGACACGAAUCCAGGCCCUACGGGGUGCAGCAGGCGCGAAACCUUUACAAUGUGCGAAAGCAUGAUAAGGGAACUCCGAGUGCCAGCAUCUAAUGUUGGCUGUCCUUGUGCCUAAAACGCACAAGAUAGCAAGGGCCGGGUAAGACCGGUGCCAGCCGCCGCGGUAACACCGGCGGCCCGAGUGGUAGCCGCUAUUAUUGGGUCUAAAGGGUCCGUAGCCGGUUCGAUAAGUCCUCUGGGAAAUCCGGUUGCUUAACAAUCAGACUGCCAAGGGAUACCGUCGAACUUGAGACCGGGAGAGGUAAGAGGUACUUCAGGGGUAGGAGUGAAAUCUUGUAAUCCCUGGGGGACCAUCUGUGGCGAAGGCGUCUUACCAGAACGGGUCUGACGGUGAGGGACGAAAGCUGGGGGCGCAAACCGGAUUAGAUACCCGGGUAGUCCCAGCCGUAAACGAUGCUCGCUAUGUGUCAGGUACGGUGUGACCGUAUCUGGUGCCGUAGGGAAGCCGUGAAGCGAGCCACCUGGGAAGUACGGCCGCAAGGCUGAAACUUAAAGGAAUUGGCGGG